rnacentral:rRNA from 1 species
AGGAUAAACGCUGGCGGCGUGCCUAACACAUGCAAGUCGAACGUCUCUUUCUUCGGGAAGAGGAGUGGCGGACGGGUGAGGAACACGUGGGAACCUGCCCUUUAGUGAGGAAUACCGGCGAGAAAUCGCCGACAAGACCGCAUAGCCCUCUUUGAUGAGAGUCAAAGAAGGAAAGCUUCGCAAGAGGCGCUAGAGGAGGGGCCUGCGUCCGAUUAGCUAGUUGGUGGGGUAAGAGCCUACCAAGGCGUCGAUCGGUAGCUGGUCUGAGAGGACGAUCAGCCACACUGGGAUUGAGAACGGCCCAGACUCCUACGGGGGGCAGCAGUGAGGAAUUUUCGGCAAUGGGGGAAACCCUGACCGAGCAACGCCGCGUGCAGGAAGACGGCCUCGGGUUGUAAACUGCUUUCUUUGGGUAGAGAACGGACGGUACCAGAGGAAUCAGCCCCGGCUCACUACGUGCCAGCAGCCGC